rnacentral:rRNA from 1 species
CCGCGUGUGUGAAGAAGGCCUUUCGGGUUGUAAAGCACUUUAAGCGAGAAGGAAAUGUUCUGGGUUAAUACCCUUGAGCAGUGACGUUACUCGCAGAAUAAGCACCGGCUAACUCUGUGCCAGCAGCCGCGGUAAUACAGAGGGUGCAAGCGUUAAUCGGAAUUACUGGGCGUAAAGCGCGCGUAGGCGGUUACGUAAGUUGGAGGUGAAAUCCCCGAGCUCAACUUGGGAAUUGCCUUCAAAACUGCGUGGCUAGAGUGUGGGAGAGGAAGGUAGAAUUCCAGGUGUAGCGGUGAAAUGCGUAGAUAUCUGGAGGAAUACCGAUGGCGAAGGCAGCCUUCUGGCCUAACACUGACGCUGAGGUGCGAAAGCAUGGGGAGCAAACAGGAUUAGAUACCCUGGUAGUCCAUGCCGUAAACGAUGUCUACUAGCCGUUGGGGGACUUGAUCCUUUAGUGGCGCAGCUAACGCAUUAAGUAGACCGCCUGGGGAGUACGGUCGCAAGACUAAAACUCAAAUGAAUUGACGGGGGCCCGCACAAGCGGUGGAGCAUGUGGUUUAAUUCGAUGCAACGCGAAGAACCUUACCUAGCCUUGACAUGUCCGGAAUCUUGCAGAGAUGCGAGAGUGCCUUCGGGAAUCGGAACACAGGUGCUGCAUGGCUGUCGUCAGCUCGUGUCGUGAGAUGUUGGGUUAAGUCCCGCAACGAGCGCAACCCUUGUCCUUAGUUGCCAGCACGUAAUGGUGGGAACUCUAGGGAGACUGCCGGUGACAAACCGGAGGAAGGCGGGGACGACGUCAAGUCAUCAUGGCCCUUACGGCUAGGGCUACACACGUGCUACAAUGGUCGGUACAAAGGGUUGCCAACUCGCGAGAGUGCGCUAAUCUCAAAAAGCCGAUCGUAGUCCGGANNGGAGUCUGCAACUCGACUCCAUGAAGUCGGAAUCGCUAGUAAUCGCGGAUCAGAAUGCC